AACGAACGCUGGCGGCAUGCCUAACACAUGCAAGUCGAACGAGACCUUCGGGUCUAGUGGCGCACGGGUGCGUAACGCGUGGGAACCUGCCCUUAGGUUCGGAAUAACUCCCCGAAAGGGGUGCUAAUACCGGAUAAUGUCUUCGGACCAAAGAUUUAUCGCCUUUGGAUGGGCCCGCGUUGGAUUAGCUAGUUGGUAGGGUAAAAGCCUACCAAGGCGACGAUCCAUAGCUGGUCUGAGAGGAUGAUCAGCCACACUGGGACUGAGACACGGCCCAGACUCCUACGGGAGGAAGAAGUGGGGAAUAUUGGACAAGGGGCGAAAGCCUGAUCCAGAAAUGCCGGGGGAGUGAGGAAGGCGUUAGGGUUGUAAAGCUCUUUUACCCGGGAUGAUAAUGACAGUACCGGGAGAAUAAGCGCCGGCUAACUCCGUG
rnacentral:rRNA from 1 species